AGAUUGAACGCUGGCGGCAUGCUUUACACAUGCAAGUCGAACGGCAGCACGGGGGCAACCCUGGUGGCGAGUGGCGAACGGGUGAGUAAUGCAUCGGAACGUAUCUUUAAGUGGGGGAUAACGCAUCGAAAGAUGCGCUAAUACCGCAUAAUCUCCGAGGAGAAAAGCAGGGGAUCGCAAGACCUUGCGCUUUUGGAGCGGCCGAUGUCUGAUUAGCUUGUUGGUGAGGUAAGGCUU
rnacentral:rRNA from 1 species